ACCCAGCUUACGAGUUCCAAAUAAGACGAAACGCGCGUCCUGGAU
rfam:Schistosoma haematobium scaffold416_40, whole genome shotgun sequence.